GGUGGUGGUGGUCUUGGCAGGGGGUCGAGGCUGCGGGAACCUAGGGAGCUUCGGGAGCGCAGGGAACGGUGGGCGCCGGGAGGUGACGGCUCGCAGCGUGAGAAGGCCGCCGGCUCCUAAGAAAUCCCCCUCCUCCAGCUGAAGAAUUUGGGGUUCAGAGAAUUACUUCAACAUACAGUACUUCAGAAUGCUGGUAAAAGAAAAGACACAGUUAAAAGCCAGGGUUGUCUGACUCCAAAGUUCCGUGCCCUUGCCGCUAUCCUUUACUGCAGGUGGUUUUGUCCUGUUGGACCAAUUAUCUAAGCUGGGCCUGGACAACCACCACUAUCCUGCCUGUGAUUUACUGCAGCUCAUUUCAUCUUCCUGUGCCUUCUCUGAAAGCCCCCUCCAAAAGUUUCCUGGGUAUGUCGCCUCAAGGUACAUACCAUGCCUGUAUUCCCACCUGUAAUAUUUGAGUUGAGCCACCUCGAAACUCACUGGUAAUGCUAGACACAUUCUGUGCCCAUCUUCCCAAGACCUCUCACCUCAAAUCCAGCCACAGUUGCAUGACUACCUGGUAUAACUGUCAUAGUCUUUAAAGGGUGAUUUCCCCAAUUAAAUUUAUUGUUGACUCCUUAUUUGACCUUUUAAGAGAGCACUUCUCAAGAGCUUCCUGUAACUGUGCUCCC